rnacentral:ncRNA from 1 species
GAUAAGCUUUAGGGGUGUCUUUUAUAAAAAAGGCUGAGAUUUACCCUUUGAACCUGAAUAAGUUAAGACUUACGUAGGGAAAAGUAAGGUCGCAGAC